rnacentral:rRNA from 1 species
AUUGAACGCUGGCGGCAGGCCUAACACAUGCAAGUCGAACGAGUGGCGGACGGGUGAGUAAUGUCUGGGAAACUGCCUGAUGGAGGGGGAUAACUACUGGAAACGGUAGCUAAUACCGCAUACCAUCAGAUGUGCCCAGAUGGGAUUAGCUUGUUGGUGGGGUAACGGCUAACAAGGGCGACGAUCCCUAGCCGGUCUGAGAGGAUGACCGGCAAAACUGGACCGGAGACACGGUCCGAACUCCUACGGGAGGAAGCAGUGGGGAAUAUUGCACAAGGGGCGAAGUCCUGAUGCGGCAAGGCCGGGUGUAUGAGGAAGGCCUUCGGGUUGUAAGGUACUUUCAGCGGGGAGGCGUUACCCGCAGAAGAAGCACCGGCUAACUCCGUGCCAGCAGCAGCGGUAAUUC